GAUGAACGCUGGCGGCGUGCCUAAUACAUGCAAGUCGAGCGAACAGAUAAGGAGCUUGCUCCUUUGACGUUAGCGGCGGACGGGUGAGUUACACGUGGAUAACCUACCUAUAAGACUGGGAUAACUUCGGGAAACCGGAGCUAAUACCGGAUAACAUAUUGAACCGCAUGGUUCAAUAGUGAAAGGCGGCUUUGCUGUCACUUAUAGAUGGAUCCGCGCCGUAUUAGCUAGUUGGUAAGGUAACGGCUUACCAAGGCAACGAUACGUAGCCGACCUGAGAGGGUGUCGGGCAACAUGGAAACUGAACCACGGCCCAGCCUCCGAGGGGAGGCGGCAUGAGGGAUUCUUCGGAAAGGGGCAAAGGCCUGACGGAGCAACGCGGGGGGAGUGAUGAGGGUUUUGGGAUCGAAAAACUCUUUUACAGGGAAAGAACAAAUGUGAAAGUAACUGUGCACAUCUUGACGGUACCUAAUAAAAAAGCCCGGGCUAACUCCGUG
rnacentral:rRNA from 1 species